GGAUUAAUAAGAGGGAGAGCGAUUAUAGCAGAUUGUUUGUGUGAUUGUUUGACUGUUUGUAUUUGUUUUAAUUUGUGUUUGACUAUUUGUAAAAAGAUCUAAACCCAACUCUAGUCUCAAUUUGUGUUUGACUGUUUGUAUUUGUUUUAAUUUUGUAUAGAUAACACAUGCUCCUAGAUUUCCUAUUCUUUCAGAGUUGGCUCGUGAUGUGUUGGCCAUUCCAAUUUCUAGUGCGGUGUCGGAAUGUGUGUUUAGCACCGGUGGUCGUAUUCUUGAUUCAUUUAGGAGUUCAUUGGGGCUCCUAAAUGGGUGCAAGCUCUUAUUUGUGUUCAAGAUUGGUUUAGAGAAGAGAAGAAUCCUAUUAGUGUUGAAGAAGACUUGGAGUAUCUUGAGGAACUCGAGCUUGAUAUGGAAAAUAAUGGAAGCACUACUACCAUUAUUUGAUCACUUUGAUGUAUAGUUGCAACUUGAGUGGUUCAAGUUCAAUCAUGCCCCGUGCUCCAAAAGUACGCUCUCAUGUUUGGGAACACUUCCAGAAAUUCGUAUUCAAGCCUAAGUUGAUUUUGUUGCUACUUGCCUGCUUAUUAGUUAAACUUACAACUUUAUGUUGUGCGGAAUGGCAGUAGCCAGUUGGUUUGCAAACUUUGCAUAAUGUUGUUGUUGUGACUUGUGAGCCUGUAACACUUUAGUUGUUAUUACUUAAAGUGUAAGCUUGAAUUCUGUUUGGCAGGUUUGUCUAUGUGUUUUUGUUGCAUUGUGUUUAAUGUUGCUGCUACUCAUUAGUGGUUGCAUGAUGCAUCUGCGUAAAGUGUAAGUUUGAAUUAAAAUUUCUGCUACUGGGUUGCUGCUCAUAGUUCAGUAUGAUUUUGCAGUCCAUGUUUGGCUUA